GCUCCGGUAGCUCAGCUGGUAGAGCGAUAGCCUUGUAAGCUAUAGGUCGCGGGUUCAAAGCCCGCCCGGAGCU
rnacentral:tRNA from 1 species